rnacentral:lncRNA from 1 species
CACUGUCCCACGUAGGGCUCGCCGUGCAGAGUGGAUGGAUACGGAGAGCGUCUGUCUUCUAGAUUGUGCACCUGUUUAGUGUGGCCCCAGAGUGAGGCUAGGGCUGUGCAUGUCACACACACGAAGAGACACGGUGCUUUCUGGGUUCCAUUAGCAGGUCUUGAUUUGGCCAGUCAACAGUCUGAAAGUUCAGGAUCUCCUGAUCAGAACCAGGAAGUCCAUAUGCAGGCUGCACUGAAGGUCACGCUUUUGAAAUCCUGCCAGCAAAAGGAAGAGAUCCUCAGAGGAGAAGAAGGCAAGACAUAUAGCUACUGACAUACUGGUAUAGAGAAAAACAGAGGCAGGAGGUGGUACAGUGUGGCCAGCACCAGCCCAGAUUCAAGCUGUCUUUCAAGAAUGGACAAUAAGGGGCUGGAGAGAUGGCUCAGUGGUUAAGAUAACUGACUGCUCUUCCAGAGGUCCUGAGUUCAAUUCCCAGCAAUCACAUGAUGGCUCACAACCAUCUACAAUGGGAUCAGAUGCCUUCUUCUGGUGUGUCUGAAGACAGCAACAGUGUACUCACAUACAUUAAGUAAAUAAAUAAAUUUAAAAAGAAAAGAAAAGAA